rnacentral:rRNA from 1 species
AUUGAACGCUGGCGGCAGGCCUAACACAUGCAAGUCGAACGAGUGGCGGACGGGUCAGUAAUGUCUGGGAAACUGCCUGAUGGAGGGGGAUAACUACUGGACACGGUAGCUAAUACCGCAUACCAUCGGAUGUGCCCCGAUGGGAUUAGCUAGUUGGUGGGGUAAAGGCUCACCUAGGCGACGAACCCUAGCUGGUCUGCUAGGAUGACCAGCAAAACUUGAACUGAGACCCGGUCCAGACUCCUACGGGAGGCAGCAGUGGGGAAUAUUGCACAAUGGGCGCAAGCCUGAUGCAGCCAUGCAGCGUGUAUGAAGAAGGCCUUCGGGUUGUAAAGUACUUUCAGCGGGGAGGCGUUACCCGCAGAAGAAGCACCGGCUAACUCCGUGCCAGCAGCCGCGGUAAUAC